GCGCCGUAUAGCUAGUUGGUAAAGGUAACGGCUUACCAAGGCAACGAUACGUAGCCSACCUGAGAGGGUGAUCGGCCACACUGGAACUGAGACACGGUCCAGACUCCUACGGGAGGCAGCAGUAGGGAAUCUUCCGCAAUGGGCGCAAAGCCUGACGGAGCAACGCCGCGUGAGUGAUGAAGGUCUUCGGAUCGUAAAACUCUGUUAUUAGGGAAGAACAAACGUGUAAKUWACUGUGCACGUCUUGACGGUACCUAAUCAGAAAGCCACGGCUAACUACGUGCCAGCAGCCGCGGUAAUACGUAGGUGGCAAGCGUUAUCCGGAAUUAUUGGGCGUAAAGCGCGCGUAGGCGGUUUUUUAAGUCUGAUGUGAAAGCCCACGGCUCAACCGUGGAGGGUCAUUURGAAACUGGAAAACUUGAGUGCAGAAGAGGAAAGUGGAAUUCCAUGUGUAGCGGUGAAAUGCGCAGAGAUAUGGAGGAACACCAGUGGCGAAGGCGACUUUCUGGUCUGUAACUGACGCUGAUGUGCGAAAAGCGUGGGGAUCAAACAGGAUUAGAUACCCUGGUAGUCCACGCCGUAAACGAUGAGUGCUAAGUGUUAGGGGGUUUCCGCCCCUUAGUGCUGCAGCUAACGCAUUAAGCACUCUUGUAGAAGAGAGUACGACCGCAAGGUUGAAACUCAAAGGAAUUGACGGGGACCCGCACAAGCGGUGGAGCAUGUGGUUUAUUUUACAACGCGAAGAACCUUACCAAAUCUUGACAUGCAUUCCCUUCUAGAGAUAGAAGUUUCCCCU
rnacentral:rRNA from 1 species